GGAUAACCUACCCUUAGGACUGGGAUAACCCUGGGAAACUGGGGAUAAUACUGGAUAGGCAAUUAUUCCUGUAAUGGUUUUUUGUUUAAAUGUUUUUUCGCCUAAGGAUGGGUCUGCGGCCGAUUAGGUAGUUGGUUAGGUAAUGGCUUACCAAGCCUUUGAUCGGUACGGGUUGUGAGAGCAAGAGCCCGGAGAUGGAACCUGAGACAAGGUUCCAGGCCCUACGGGGUGCAGCAGGCGCGAAACCUCCGCAAUGUGAGAAAUCGCGACGGGGGGAUCCCAAGUGCCAUUCUUAACGGGAUGGCUUUUCAUUAGUGUAAAGAGCUUUUGGAAUAAGAGCUGGGCAAGACCGGUGCCAGCCGCCGCGGUAACACCGGCAGCUCUAGUGGUAGCAGUUUUUAUUGGGCCUAAAGCGUCCGUAGCCGGUUUAAUAAGUCUCUGGUGAAAUCCUGCGGCUUAACUGUGGGAAUUGCUGGAGAUACUAUUAGACUUGAGAUCGGGAGAGGUUAGAGGUACUCCCAGGGUAGAGGUGAAAUUCUGUAAUCCUGGGAGGACCGCCUGUUGCGAAGGCGUCUGACUGGAACGAUUCUGACGGUGAGGGACGAAAGCUAGGGGCGCGAACCGGAUUAGAUACCCGGGUAGUCCUAGCUGUAAACGAUGCGGACUUGGUGUUGGGGUGGCUUUGAGCUGUCCCAGUGCCGAAGGGAAGCUGUUAAGUCCGCCGCCUGGGAAGUACGGUCGCAAGACUGAAACUUAA
rnacentral:rRNA from 1 species